AGAGUUUGAUCAUGGCUCAGAAUGAACGUUGGCGGCGUGGAUUAGGCAUGCAAGUCGAGCGAGUCUACUUAGUAGCAAUAUUGAGUAAGUCGAGCGGCGUAAGGGGCAGUAAUACCUGGGAACGUACCCUGAGGUCGGGGAUAGCUGCUAGAAAUGGCGAGUAAUACCCGAUGAUCUCGGAAGAGCAAAGGCUUGCCGCCUUCGGAGCGGCCCAGGCGAUAUUAGCUAGUUGGUGGGGUAAUGGCCUACCAAGGCAUAGAUGUCUAGCGGGUGUGAGAGCACGACCCGCGCCACUGGCACUGAGACACUGGCCAGACACCUACGGGUGGCUGCAGUCGAGAAUCUUCGGCAAUGAGCGCAAGCUUGACCGAGCGACGCCGCGUGCGGGAUGAAGGCCUUCGGGUUGUAAACCGCUUUGGUCCGAAAGAAAGGGUAAAACUUGAUCGAUCGGAGAAACAAGGACGGGCUAAGUUCGUG
rnacentral:rRNA from 1 species